rnacentral:rRNA from 1 species
CAAUAGCGUAUAUUAAAGUUGUUGCGGUUAAAAUGCUCGUAGUUGGAUUUCUGCCGAAAAUGAUCUAAGGAACUUACUUAAGUUUCUUAUAGGUUGUUUGAGGCAUAUAUUCUAGUUGAUAACGCUGUACUUCACUGUGCUAGCUUUGCAACUAUAUAUUUACUUUGAGGAAAUUAGAGUGUUUCAAGCAGGCUAAUGCCGCGCAUAUAUUAGCAUGGAAUAAUAAGAUACGACUUCGGUUUUAUUUUGUUGGUUUCUUGAACCGUAGUAAUGAUUAAUAGGAACAGUCGGGGGCAUUCGUAUUUAACAGUCAGAGGUGAAAUUCUUGGAUUUGUUAAAGACGAACUACUGCGAAAGCAUUUGCCAAGGAUGUUUUCAUUGAUCAAGAACGAAAGUUAGGGGAUCGAAGACGAUUAGAUACCAU